rnacentral:rRNA from 1 species
UGGGGAAUUUUGGACAAUGGGGGAAACCCUGAUCCAGCCAUCCCGCGUGUGCGAUGAAGGCCUUCGGGUUGUAAAGCCCUUUUGGCAGGAAAGAAACGUCAUGGGUUAAUACCCCGUGAAACUGACGGUACCUGCAGAAUAAGCACCGGCUAACUACGUGCCAGCAGCCGCGGUAAUACGUAGGGUGCAAGCGUUAAUCGGAAUUACUGGGCGUAAAGCGUGCGCAGGCGGUUCGGAAAGAAAGAUGUGAAAUCACAGAGCUCAACUUUGGAACUGCAUUUUUAACUACCGGGCUAGAGUGGGGCAGAGGGAGGUGGAAUUCCGGGUGUAGCAGUGAAAUGCAUAGAUAUGCGGAGUAACACCGAUGGCGAAGGCAGCCUCCUGGGAUAACACUGACGCUCAUGCACGAAAGCGUGGGGAGCAAACAGG